rnacentral:rRNA from 1 species
CUUGAAUAAAAUAAGAGGUCCAGCCUGCCCAGUGAAAUUAUUCAACGGCCGCGGUAUCCUAACCGUGCGAAGGUAGCGUAAUCACUUGUUCUUUAAAUGAGGACUAGUAUGAAUGGCACCACGAGGGUUCUACUGUCUCCUUUUUUUAAUCAGUGAAACUAAUCUCCCCGUGAAGAAGCGGGGAUCUUUGUAUAAGACGAGAAGACCCUAUGGAGCUUUAAACAACCAACAUUUGCUACACCAUAACAUUUUUCCCUAAAAGAAGUAUAGCAUUAUGAUUAUUAGUUUUCGAUUGGGGUGAUCACGGAGUAAAAUAUAACCUCCAUGCCGAAAGGGUUCUUACCCUGAGCAAAAAGCCACAGCUUUAAGCACUAAAAAAUUAACGCAGUUUGACCCAAUAUUUUGAUCAACGAAC